GACGAACGCUGGCGGCGUGCUUAACACAUGCAAGUCGAACGGAAAGGCCCCUUUGGGGGUACUCGAGUGGCGAACGGGUGAGUAACACGUGAGUAACCUGCCCUUGACUUCGGGAUAACUUCAGGAAACUGGGGCUAAUACCGGAUAGGAAUCCUUGCUGCAUGGUGGGGGUUGGAAAGCUUCGGCGGGUUUGGAUGGACUCGCGGCUUAUCAGCUUGUUGGUGGGGUAGUGGCUUACCAAGGCUUUGACGGGUAGCCGGCCUGAGAGGGCGACCGGCCACAUUGGGACUGAGAUACGGCCCAGACUCCUACGGGAGGCAGCAGUGGGGAAUAUUGCACAAUGGGCGGAAGCCUGAUGCAGCAACGCCGCGUGCGGGAUGACGGCCUUCGGGUUGUAAACCGCUUUCAGCAGGGGCGAAGCUUGUGGUGACGGUACCUGCAGAAGAAGCACCGGCUAACUACGUGC
rnacentral:rRNA from 1 species